rnacentral:lncRNA from 1 species
AUGCAAUGCUCUGACUUCAAGGGUUUUUGCUGUUUUCUGAGUUUUUAACCUAAAGAUUGAGGUAAGAGAUGUUAAGGGAACUAACAGAAGGCACACACUUGCCUCCACCUCCCAUACCACCCUUUCCGUCUUCUUGUUCCUUCCUGGUGUCCUGUAGGCUUUGGUUUAGGUUUUCCUCUUCUGCAUGGGACUGCAAUAUCUGCCUGCAAUAUUUUGAUCUGUAGUAAGAAACACACAUUGGUCUCCGUUUCUGUCCCUGUUUCUGGCACUGAGCUCUUAAAACCCUUGGGAUUUCUCUGAUGAGGGAGAUAAAGGUAUCUUUUGUUAUAUUAAUGAGGUGACUUUUGGAAAGCCCCUAGAUCACCUACCAUGGGGGCUGGUUCCAGAAGAACCAACCCAGAGAUGAGAGGUUGGAAUUUCCAGUUCCACCCCCACCCUAUCCCCACCUCUGGGGAGGGGAAGGGACUGAAGGAGAAGUUCAAUUGCCAUCGGUCAGUGAUUUAAUCAGCCGUGCCUUUGUAACGAAACCACCUUAAAACCCCAAAGGACAGGGUUUGGAAGGCGUCCAAGGCUGGUGAACCAACGCACAUCCAUCACAAGGGUAAAGCCUCUGUGUUUGGGACCUUGCCCUGUGUAUCUCUUCACCUGGAUGGUGCUUCCUACCCUUUAAUAUCUUUUGUAAUAGACUGGUAAUCUCGUGAGUAAAAGGGCUUCCUGAGUUCUGCAAGCCGUUCUAGCAAAUUAAUCAGACCCAGGACAGGGGCGUGGAAGCUUCUCCUGUAUAGCCAGCUGGUCAGAGGCACAGAUGCCCAGCUGGACUUGACACUGGCAUCUGAAGUGGGGAGCAGUCUUAGGGGACUGCGCCCUCCGCCUGUGGAAUCUGAUGGUGUCUCCAGGUAGCAGUGUCGCUGGUGUCACACACUUGUUUGGCGGUGUAAGGACCUGCCCCCCCCUUUACUGGAAUUGGGUGCAGAUCAUACCCCCUAAGCGGCUGUGCUCUUAUUUUCUGACUUAAGUAUCCAGAAAACUAGGGCAGAAUUUGUACAGCCUGAAGGCAUUUCUCUUC